GUAGGUGGCAAGCGUUGUCCGGAAUUAUUGGGCGUAAAGCGCGCGCAGGCGGUUCUUUAAGUCUGAUGUGAAAGCCCACGGGCUCAACCGUGGAGGGUCAUUGGAAACUGGAGAACUUGAGUACAGAAGAGGAAAGCGGAAUUCCACGUGUAGCGGUGAAAUGCGUAGAGAUGUGGAGGGACACCAGUGGCGAAGGCGGCUUUCUGGUCUGUAACUGACGCUGAGGCGCGAAAGCGUGGGGAGCAAACAGGAUUAGAUACCCUGGUAGUCCACGCCGUAAACGAUGAGUGCUAAGUGUUAGGGGGUUUCCGCCCCUUAGUGCUGCAGCUAACGCAUUAAGCACUCCGCCUGGGGAGUACGGCCGCAAGGCUG
rnacentral:rRNA from 1 species